UACGGAAGGCAGCAGUGGGGAAUAUUGCACAAUGGGCGCAAGCCUGAUGCAGCCAUGCCGCGUGUAUGAAGAAGGCCUUCGGGUUGUAAAGUACUUUCAGUCGUGAGGAAGGUGUUAAGGUUAAUAACCUUAGCAAUUGACGUUAGCGACAGAAGAAGCACCGGCUAACUCCGUGCCAGCAGCCGCGGUAAUACGGAGGGUGCGAGCGUUAAUCGGAAUUACUGAGCGUAAAGGGCACGCAGGCGGUUAAUUAAGUUGGAUGUGAAAUCCCCGGGCUUAACCUGGGAAUGGCAUUCAAGACUGGUUAGCUAGAGUCUUGUAGAGGGGGUAGAAUUCCAUGUGUAGCGGUGAAAUGCGUAGAGAUGUGGAGGAAUACCGGUGGCGAAGGCGGCCCCUGGGACAAAGACUGACGCUCAUGUGCGAAAGCGUGGGGAGCAAACAGGAUUAGAUACC
rnacentral:rRNA from 1 species